rnacentral:rRNA from 1 species
UUCGUAGGCGGUGUGGCAAGUUGGGAGUGAAAUCUCUGGGCUCAACCCAGAGGCUGCUUCCAAGACUGCUGUGCUUGAGUGUGAGAGAGGCUCGUGGAAUUGCAGGUGUAGCGGUGAAAUGCGUAGAUAUCUGCAGGAACACCCGUGGCGAAAGCGGCGAGCUGGAUCACAACUGACGCUGAGGAACGAAAGCUAGGGGAGCAAACAGGAUUAGAUACCCUGGUAGUCCUAGCCCUAAACGAUCAGGACUUGGGGUGCCGCCCGUUCGGGCGUCGUCCCGGAGCUAACGCGUUAAGUCCUGCACCUGGGGAGUACGGUCGCAAGACUGAA